rnacentral:rRNA from 1 species
CCUACGGGAGGCAGCAGUGGGGGAUAUUGCACAAUGGGGGAAACCCUGAUGCAGCGACGCCGCGUGGGUGAAGAAGCCCCUCGGCGCUUAAAGCCCUGUCAGCAGGGAAGAAAAUGACGCUACCUGAAGAAGAAGCCCCGGCUAACUACGUGCCAGCAGCCGCGGUCAUACGUCGGGGGCAAGCGUUAUCCGGAUUUACUGGGUGUAAAGGGGGCGCAGACGGCGAUGCAAGCCAGGAGUGAAAGCCCGGGGGCCAACCCCGGGACUGCUCUUGGAACUGCGGGGCUAGAGUGCAGGAGGGGUAGGCGGAAUGCCUGGUGUAGCGGUGAAAUGCGUAGAUAUCAGGAAGAACACCGGUGGCGAAGGCGGCAUGCUGGACUGCAACUGACGUUGAGGCACGAAAGCGUGGGGAGCGAACAGGAUUAGAUACCCUAGUAGUC